UAGGGAAUCUUGCGCAAUGCGCGAAAGCGUGACGCAGCAACGCCGCGUGGGGGAAGAAGGCCUUCGGGUUGUAAACCCCUUUCAGGAGGGACGAAGGUGCGGCGGCGAACAGCCGUCCGUACUGACGGUACCUCCAGAAGAAGCCCCGGCUAACUACGUGCCAGCAGCCGCGGUAAUACGUAGGGGGCUAGCGCUGUCCGGAAUCAUUGGGCGUAAAGCGCGCGUAGGCGGCCCGGUAAGUCCGCUGUAAAAGUCCAGGGCUCAACCCUGGAAAGCCGGUGGAUACUGUCGGGCUCGAGUCCGGAAGAGGCGAGUGGAAUUCCUGGUGUAGCGGUGGAAUGCGCAGAUAUCGGGAGGAACACCAAUUGCGAAGGCAGCUCGCUGGGACGUUACUGACGCUGAGACGCGAAAGCGUGGGGAGCAAACAGGAUUAGAUACCCUGGUAGUCCACGCCGUAAACGAUGGGCACUAGGUGUGGGGGGUGUCGACUCCCUCCGUGCCGAAGCUAACGCAUUAA
rnacentral:rRNA from 1 species